rnacentral:misc_RNA from 1 species
CGCUCCGCAACGUGACGCGUUGUCAAUGGCAAGUCGAGGCCUGUAAGUAUAUGUAUCUGGAACAAGGCCCAUUUGAUCAAGUAAUUCAAAGGCUUUUCCUGUGUCUCCUGCGAUGUCCUUCAAUCAUAGCGUUAUAAGUGACCUCAUUUGGCAUGAUGUUCCUGUUCUUUCAUUCACCAAACCAUCUGAUUGUCUCAACCAUCAUAUUUGCUCUACAAAGGCCAGAUAUCAUUGCAGUAAAUGCCCAUACCAG